ACACUAGGUUACAGCUUGGUGUACAACUGUACAACACUAGGUUACAGCAUGGUGUACAACUGUACAACACAAGGUUACAGCUUGGUGUACAACUCUGUGCAACACUAGGUUACAGCUUGGUGUACAACUGUACAACACUAGGUUACAGCAUGGUGUACAACUGUACAACACUAGGUUACAGCUUGGUGUACAACUGUACAACACUAGGUUACAGCUUGGUGUACAACUCUGUACAACACUAGGUUACAGCUUGGUGUACAACACAAGGGUACAGGGGCCUGAUCCACAAAGGGAUCUUUGCGCUAAGGUGAUCGUAAUUCCAAUACUUUAGCAUAGGCGACAGAUUAUCGUAGCACUAAGAAUGCUUUGUGGAAUGGGCCCAGAUCAUUGCAGAGUUAUGUCAUAGGGAAAGAAAGUAGCAACAUUUAGCCGCAAAAUCAUCAGGAUAAUAAAAUUCACAUU